rnacentral:lncRNA from 1 species
AUUAAGUUGAAACAACGACAAAUACAGUAAUAAUUAUGACAUUAGUUAAUUGAUAGUAAGUCAUACCGGUAAUUAUAAUUAAAACAGCAAGUCAAAAUUUACAUUAAAACAAAUAAGACAAAAAGUCAAGAUUGACAAGAAGUAGAAAUUGUGACAAUAGUUGAAAUUGAAAAAAAAACAACAAUUUUGACAUAAAAAUUUGAAAUAGAUAUUAAACUCAUGAUAUUAAGUUGAAACAACGACAAAUACAGUAAUAAUUAUGACAUUAGUUAAUUAUGACAAAACAGCUUUGACUAAAAAGUAGAAAUUAUGAGCUCAAAAGUGAUAAUUAUAACAUAAAAAGUCAAAAUGAUAUGUCAAAAAUUAACCUUUUAUGUCAUAGUUAUGACUUUUCAUAUCAAUAAGACUUAUAAUUAUUGACAUUUUUUUAUUAUUUUUUAAUAUAGAAAAGACAGUGGUUGAAAUUGAUGAAGACAGUCUUGGAAUUACUUCAGAAAGUGAGGUUAACCUCAGCUCCUUCAAACCCAAGCUUCUUUCAGGUGGGAAUAAUAACUUUAAUAAUUAAUAAUUAGUAUGCAAGUAGUACUUGCUAGUAUGUGAUGAUUGUAAAUAUGUACAUACUGUACCCCCUGAAGGGCAGAGCCCAUGUGCCAGUCGGCCAUGUUAUCCUGGAGUCCAGUGCUUUGAGAGCACAUACACAUCUGCUGGUUACAUAUGUGGUCCGUGUCCUCCUGGGCUCAGCGGCAAUGGACAAACAUGCUCGUCGAGGACCGCAAACAGGCAGACACAAUCCAGGAAGGGUGACAAGUUCUCUGAUGUCACUUCCUCUCUGGCCACACCCUCAUCCACUAGGAAGUCAGCUGAACGUCCUAUUGGAGCUGAACGAUCUCCUCCUAGGAACAAGUGGACCUCAUCUGUUGAUAGGAAGACCACCACACACACCCUAGACCAGAUCAACACGAAUGCAAAAGCAAGUUCAAGUAGAGAGCAGCUGAAUGAAGAAGAACUGAACCCUGAAGACGCUGAGGAUAACAGAACCUGUGCGGACUCCCCGUGUUUCUCUGGAGUACCUUGUGAAGCUGCUUCCUCUGGCUCCUUCAGAUGUGGAAACUGUCCACACGGCUACAAAGGAAAUGGAAUUACCUGCAAACGUGAGCUGUCUUAUAUGAUGCAAUAAAAAAAAACAUUGUUCAUUAUUAUAGUUGAUGCACAUGAAAAUAUAAAAAAAAAUGCCUGAAAAUUACAAAGUUUUUUUUAACGAUUUAAAUUGCCUGUGUGUGUGUAGCUGUGUGCCGUUACCCUUGUGGUCAGAAUAUGGAGUGCUCUCAGCCCAACACUUGUACCUGUAAAGAGGGUUACACUGGAUACAACUGCCACAUCGGUCAGUUCAUUUAACUUGGCAGACAUUCAAAGAUUUGAUUACUCAUUUUAAUUAUGACUUGUUAUUAUGAAUCCUUUCAAACUCACACCGGUUAUGUCUUCUUCCAUCAGCUGUGUGCCGACCAGACUGCAAGAACAAAGGAAAGUGUGUGAAGCCCAAUGUGUGUGAAUGUGCUGCAGGGUACAACGGCCCCACCUGUGAGGAAGGUAAACUCUCUCUGCAUUAGGAUUUUCUUUACAGCUUUACAAAAUAUGUAUGUUUUGAGGGUUUCAGUGGAUAUUAUAUAAAUGCACACAUCUUGUCUCUCAGCCAGCUGUGAUCCGCCUUGUCAACACGGUGGCCGCUGUUUGUCCAGAAACUACUGCACUUGCCCUUACGGCUACGUGGGACCAAGAUGUGAAACUAGUGAGCAGACACUUCCAAAUUUCUAAAUACAAAGAAUUUUGUUCAUAAUGAUUGUGUGCCAUUGCCUUUGUCUUUUCUUAGUGGUGUGUACAGACAUUGUGAAAAUGGUGGCGAGUGUGUGUCGCCUGAUGUCUGGAUUGUGUGCCAUUGCCUUUGUCUUUUCUUAGUGGUGUGUAACAGACAUUGUGAAAAUGGUGGCGAGUGUGUGUCGCCUGAUGUCUGUAAGUGUAAGCCCGGCUGGUACGGACCAACGUGUAACUCAGGUGCGCUUUUUCGUCCUUAAACUUUAUUGAAAAAUUCACCCAAAAAAAUUAAACUUGUCUUCAUUUUAAAUCAUGUUUAUUAAAGUCAUAGUCUACACGAUUUACUCACCCUUAUGAUGUUCCAAACCUGUAUGACUUUCUUUCUUCGGUAUAACAUAAGGGAAAAUAUUUUGAAGAAUGUUGGUAACCACACAAUGCAAUGGAAGUCAAUGGGAACUGAAACUAUAUGGUUACCAAACAUUCUUCAAAAUAUAUUUUUUUAUGCUCCACUGAAGAAAGGAAGUCAUACAGGUUUGGAACAUCAUAAGCAUGAGUAAAUGAAGACAUAAUUAUUUUAAUUUUUGUUUAGACUAUCCAUUUACUAAACGUGAUUAGAAUAAAUUCCUUGGUUGUUUUCAUUCUUAGCCGACUGUAAGCCUUUGUGCUUAAACGGAGGGACUUGUAUCAAACCAAACAUCUGUGCUUGUCCUAGUGGCUUCUAUGGUUCACAGUGUCAGAUAGGUACAACCUAUUUUUAUUCAUGUAAAUAAUGCUCCUGUACAAUUAAUUAAUGGCCUUAAUUAUGUGAUUAUUAUUUAUUUGUGUGUCAUUUUUUGUAGCUCUGUGUAGUCCACCAUGUAAAAACAGAGGCCAGUGCAUGAGAAACAACGUGUGCUCCUGUCCUGAAGGAUACACUGGGAAGAGAUGCCAGAAAAGUGAGUGUCACUGCAGCUCAACUCAAAGAAUCCAAUUUGUUUCUUUUCUGUUGUUGCGAUUUGUUUCUACAUCCAGCAUGCUUUCUAUCAUAUAAUCUGUUCGGACAUGUUUAUGCAAUGCUUUUAGGUGUGUGUGACCCCAUGUGCAUGAACAACGGAAAGUGUGUCGGGCCAAACACCUGUUCCUGUCCAUCUGGGUGGAGAGGAGAGAUCUGCAACAUCCGUAAGAGCAAAAUUAAAAGAAACCUUUUAUGCUCAUCAAUGCUGCAUUUAUUUGAUUUAAAAUACAAUAAAAAUAGUAAAACCCAUCUUUGCAACAUAACCUGAAGUGUUUUCUGUAUGUGUAUAUUCAGCGGCAUGUUUACAAAAAUGUAAGAAUGGUGGAGAGUGUGUGGGGCCGAACACAUGUCACUGUCCAGCUGGAUGGGAGGGUCUGCAGUGCCAAACUCGUAAGUCCUGAUCAAACCUAAUGAUUUCUCACGUCUUGUCAGUGUAUUGAGGUCACAUCGAUCAUAUUCUUACUGUUAAAGUAUAGUUUGAUCUUUGGCUUGAAGAAAAUUUGAAUAUUAGUUUAAAUAUAAAUUUAAUAUCAAUGUUUAUUUUACUUUAUUUUCCUAACAGCAGUCUGUAAACAAACGUGCCUCAAUGGAGGGAGAUGUGUGUUUCCAAAUUUCUGUCACUGCCGUCAGGGUUACACUGGACCUUCCUGUGGUACUAAAGUAAGCAUUUCUCUCUCUCAAAAAAAAAGGCAUUGACAUUAUUCAUUUCAUCUUUAAAAUGAUCUUUGUACAUACAUUUAUGGUCAUAAAGAUGAACUGAUUGUAAACAUUUUUUUAUUUACAGACUAGGUGAUGAAGAUCUGAAAUUGAAGACAAGUCUAUCACCCUGUAAAAAAAUGAAUGCUGUGUGUGAGUUUGUAUGUAAGCAUUAGUGCCCUAAAAGGGAAGGAUACUUUUAUUGGACUUCUAUUAGAAAAUAACAGACUUUUAUUAGACCUUGUAUUAGAUCACUAUAGUAUUUCAAGAGUGUUAUUCUGUAUGUGAAUGUAGGUAUUUGUCUAAAUCUCUUGGCAAUGAUUCUUUUAAUUUUUUAUUUGAUUCAGUGUUUUUUUUGUGUGUGUGUGUGUGAGUGGUAUACUACAGUGUGCACAUUUUAUAAUAUUAAUAAAAUAUGUUCCUGUUAUAUUAUAAAUUGCUUUCGAAGAAAUAAAAUCAAAACUUCAGUACAUUUGAAGUUAUAAAAAUGGAUCUCAAUCUCAUUUCCCAAUAAAAAGAAGUGGUCAAAAACUAAAAAGGGUCACAAUCACAUUUCUGCUUCUGAAAAAUCAAGAAUUUUAAUUUGAACUUUAUUUAAUUAGUUGUACUGUAUGCUAAAGAAAAUUCAACAGUUAUCGUAAACACACUGCAUAAUAGUCAUAAUGUAAUGUACAAAGUUAAUGUAAAAAACACAUCACACUCCUCACAUCUUCAGUUAGGGUUCAACAAACAAACACGUAACUUUAGCACCAAUUUAAGGGACUGUGGAGGUCAGAAGUCAGACUGUUCUGACAUCAGUAGAGCUUCUUCCUCUCUUCACACUGCGGGCCUGAGAACGGAGCUCGACAGCGACAGGUGUUAGGAGACACACACUUCCCCCAUUCACACACGGCUUUUUACACACAGCUGCAGACAAAGAGAUAAAUGCUUUCAUUUUUAAAAUCGAGUAAACUCAAGUGUGUACCAUUUAAAUAAAGUCUUAAUAGUAACUGCACAAACAAAAAUGUAAUUUUAGAGCAUCUGAAUAGUCUUGUUCAAUAAUUCUGUGUGGUCACGCCAUAUUGUUUUU